rnacentral:lncRNA from 1 species
AUUCAGAGAUUUGCCCAUGAGUGUCAUGUACACGUGCCAGCCUGUGCUCUGCAUCCCGUUUCAUCCUUAACCCUGCUCCCAUUUCAGAUGGGGAGACAGGUUUGAUUGGAAUGAGUUGCCUAAGUGUGUAGUUCUUCGGUGGUGAAGUUAGGGUUCUAACCCAGGCUAACCUGGACUUCAUCCAGCCCUCCAGGACAGGGGUAUUGUUCUCUCCAGGGGCCACACUGCCCUGUCCCUUGGAUCCUUCCAAGUGUAUCAUAAGCCUGCCCCUAGCUUCUGGUCUCUCCUGCUUUGUGCUAUGAACGAGUGAGUGAGAGCCGCUAUUUCAGGAGCCUGCUCUAAAAUCAGGGGAUGUUGCCUGAGCAGUUCUCCGGCUUUCUGGCCCUCUCAGUUUUGGCACUGCUACAAUGUCUCCCUUGGUUUCCCUGGCAAUGCAGUUUGCUUUUCUUCCUUUGCCUCUUCAGAGGUUUCUUCUGGUUAGUUGUACAGACUCGGGUGUCACCUGAGCUUUUUGUAUCGUGAAUACAUUUAGGGAUCUUCUGCUUCUUUUUGUCCCCCAUAUUUCCCAUCCCUUUAUACACUAGGUUUGGUUUGAAAUUCUUUUCUCUUCUUUUCUUUUUUUUUUUAAAUGGGGUUUUGUUUUGUUUUAGGUAGGAGACAUUUAUAUAGUCAGAUUGGCUUCAAACUUGUGGUUUUCCUACCCCAGCCUCACAAAUUCAGGGAUUAUGGAGGUUAACUACCACGUCUAGCAUUCUUUGCUGAUGUUGUUUGUUUGUUUGUUUGUUUUUGAGACAGAGCCUCUCUGUAUAGCCCUAGCUGACCUGGAAUCUGCUAUGUAGACCAAGCUAGUCUCCAAUUUUCUUGUCUUCUGAAGGAAGCUGAGAUUAAAGGCAUGUGUCAUUACUCCUG